rnacentral:misc_RNA from 1 species
UGGAUGCUGUGCUAACGGCA